rnacentral:misc_RNA from 1 species
GGGCAUAGGAGGUUGGCUAAAUUCAUAAGCUACUGUGGUAUGCUAGCAUGUAACCCUAGAUAAAAUUUUGAAAUCCAACCUACUAAUGGCCCAAAUGCUUCCCAAGCCUUCAUGUAGGGCAUAACAUGCUUAAGCCUAUUGGUGAUAGCUUUAGUAACCAUCUUAUAAACCACAUUGCAUAAAGCAAUGGGCCUAAAUUGAGAGAUAAGAGAGGGCUGCUCAAUCUUAGGAAUGAGAGAGACAAGAGUUUGAUUCAUGCGAUGGUCAAUACUCCCUCCCAAAAGAAUUCAUUUAAGUUCAUUGCAAACAUCCCGGCCCACCAAAUUCCAUUGGGAUUGAAAUAAAUCUGCGUGAAGACCGUCACUGCCUAGAGCCUUCCAAGGCUUCAUAUCAAAGAGAGCCAGACGAAUCUCCUCAUCAGCAAACGAUCUUUGAAGAAACUCUAACAUAUCAAGGGGCAAACGAGGGAAGUGACCCCGGAUAGGAUAACUAGGCCGGACAAUCAUCUCUUCCAUAUAGAGAUUUUUAAAAAAAUCCAUAACUAACCGCUUCAGACUCACCUGAUCCUCAACCCAUUCACCGAAAUCAUUUCUAAGCUUCUCUACUCUAAUCCUUUUCCUUCUAGUAAUGGUGCGGAUAUGAAAAAAAUUUGUAUUUUGGUCACUAUAAUUAAUCCAAUCACACCGAGCUUUUUGAUACCACAAUAAUUCUUCCCUGAACAAGUUCAUAUCCAAUUCCCUCUUCAAUUCAAGCUCCAAGUCAAUAAGCUUCUGAGACAAUCUCCUACCAAGAGCAUUUUGGAUUCUAGCAAUACGGGCCAAGAGAACAUUUUUCUUCCUAAAAAUAUUUCCGAACACAUCAGUAUUCCAUUUUUGCAACUCCUUAGUGAAAUCCUCAAUACCCUGCAUAAAAGAAUUUCCCUCCUUCCAUUUCGUAGCCACUAAAUCCGCAAAAUUAGAGUGAGUGAGCCAGGUUGAUAGAAAACGGAAGGGCCUGUUCCCUGAAGAAGGGAUAAAAUUAUUUAGCUUGAGCAGCAAAGGCCUAUGGUCUGAGUGAACUCUCGAUAAGUGGUGAAUCGCAGCCUCAGGAUAACAUAAUCUCCAAGAGUGACUGCAAAUUCCUCUGUCUAGCCUUUCUUGCAAAUUUCCUAUUUUCCAGGUGUAUUUUGACCCUAAAAAUCCCAAAUCCAAAAGACCAGAAGAGAAGAACCAUUCAGAAAAAGAUUUACAAACACCCACUCUAUUUUGAGAACCUCUGCAACAUUCGCUGGGGCUGCAAAUAGCGUUAAAAUCUUCCAUAGCAAACCAGGGCUCCGUAACUUGCAAGUUUAAUCUCUGUAGCACCUUCCAAAGAAAUUUGCGAUGAGAAUAAACUGGGCUUCCAUAAACAGCGGUGAAGAAAGAAAUCAGCUUGUUAUUCUCCUUAAUCAGCUUAUGAAUAAAUUGAAUAUGGUUUUCUAAAACAAAAACCUCCCACCCAUUAUUCCAAAGCACCCAUAUGCCACCUGAAAAUCCUUGAGCUUUAAAACGAUGAGAGAAGGGGAAUUCAAUUUUUCGAAUAAUCUCAUCAGCUUUGGAGCCACUAAUACGGGUUUCGAAAAGCACCAGAACUUUCGACUUGUACUUCUUAACCAGUAACUUCAAAUAACUCGGAAAAGCUUUAUGGCCUGCGCCUUGACAAUUCCAACAUAAAACAGACAUUUGAAAAGAAAAGUGAAAAAGGAAAUACCAGAUUACGCUUGGAGUGAAGGAUCAACGAUUUCAUCAAAACCAUCUGACUCCUCCAUCUCACUCUCGGCAACUCCAGAAUAGUCAUCCCCAUCCUCCUCAUCGGAGACAUCUUACAUGUUGUUCUCCCUCACCAACAUUGGAUCAGGUGGCCUGCUUAUAGUAAUACGAAUAAUCUGGUCAUCUUCCAAUGUAGAAGAAUGAGGAUUAUUCACUUCCAUAGUUUCCGUGGAAGUAGCUGGAAUCUCU